rnacentral:rRNA from 1 species
GAUGAACGCUGGCGGCGUGCCUAAUACAUGCAAGUCGAGCGAACAGACGAGGAGCUUGCUCCUCUGACGUUAGCGGCGGACGGGUGAGUAACACGUGGAUAACCUACCUAUAAGACUGGGAUAACUUCGUGAAACCGGAGCUAAUACCGGAUAAUAUAUUGAACCGCAUGGUUCAAUAGUGAAAGACGGUUUUGCUGUCACUUAUAGAUGGAUCCGCGCCGCAUUAGCUAAUUGGUAAGGUAACGGCUUACCAAGGCAACGAUGCGUAGCCGACCUGAGAGGGUGAUCGGCCACACUGGAACUGAGACACGGUCCAGACUCCUACGGGAGGCAGCAGUAGGGAAUCUUCCGCAAUGGGCGAAAGCCUGACGGAGCAACGCCGCGUGAGUGAUGAAGGUCUUCGGAUCGUAAAACUCUGUUAUUAGGGAAGAACAAAUGUGUAAGUAACUAUGCACGUCUUGACGGUACCUAAUCAGAAAGCCACGGCUAACUACGUG